CCGCCCCCCGCGGAGACUCCCGGGAAAGCUAGGAUAGCCUGCGGCUAAUUCGGUCUGGCCUAGUUCGCCUGAGCCUUAGCUAGUUCUCUGCCGGAGAGUUUCUGAGCAGCCAGGUGUCCAGGCGGAUGCCAGCCCACCAGGCAGGCACUGGCCAAAUGAUUUCCUGACUGUGAUCUUACCCAUCUUCAUGGUGGAUUUCAAGGGGACAUAAAGACACUUCAGUAUCCAUCCAUCACCUU